UAUUACAACCUUUCAUCCUUCAAAUAUUCACAUUAUUUUCAUAAAAAUUUGUAUUAAUUGUGAUUUUUUUAAAAGGAAAUCGUCUUGUUUAAUUUUCUCUCUCUGCGCACGGCUCUCUUUCGAGAGAUCUUUUCGUUUGAGGCUGUUCGCAGAGAGAGUAAGAAAAAAUUAAGAAUUAAUUGAAAAGAGAGAUUUAAUAAUUUAAAAAGAGAACAAAAAAAUGGGUAUGGGAUCUGAUAAAUUGAUGUUUGGUUUCGUUUUAGUAUUUGUUCUCUCGAUCAUUUUGCCUGCUGUUCAGGGACAAGAAGGUUUUGCUCCGGCACCGGCACCGGCUCCGACCAGCGACGGUACAACAAUUGACCAGGGGAUUGCAUGUGUAUUAAUGUUGUUGGCUUUGGCAGUGACAUAUCUUGUUCAUGCAGCUGAUGUUCAAUAUAAUUAACUUCUAAAAGAACAAUGGAUUUAUUGAAGAUCAUUCGUAUUGAGAGUGCCUAGGUUAUGGGAUUUGUACAAGGUUUUUCUUGUAAUUUGUAUUAUACCUAGGACACAUGAAAUUUAGUCAUCUUUGUUUAGGAUUCUAACUUUUGAGAAGCUAUCUAUUUUGAGAAUCCGACAAUAUUUACAUAUUCUUGGUUUUGCUACUCAUUA